CUCCAGCCUGUAAUUGUUGUAAGCAUUUUGAUGUCUAUGUCUUAUUGUGGACUGUGGUGAAACCCAACGGCAGAACUUACACCGAUGAAGUACAGGGCUGGCUUACAAUCCCAACAUUGAUUCGCGUGCCAUCUUCCAGCGUCAUUGUGUGGAAACCGUAGCGGUGAAGUAACUUCCACUCACGCUUAUGGCCUAAUUGGGAAGAUUUACUCUUGGAGCAUCUGAAAGUAUUCACGGCUCCAAGGUUCACGAGCCAUCGCACGCGAAAUGGCUGUUGAGGACAUGUCGGUAUCGAAAUCAAAUUGUUUCAAAUUUGUGCUCCAAAUUGCAUCGAGUUCAACAUCAACUAGCUCAUCAGUCUGACUUCGUCUGUGCAAGAGAUAAGCACCAGUGUUCUAUACUAGUCCAUGUGUUGUUUAGAGAUUUAUCAAUAGGAAGAGAUAUCACACUUGAGUUGCCCUUUGUACUGCAUUUUCCACUUCCUCAUCGGCUCUAAAGGUUCGAACUUUAAACCUUCGGCACCAAAUUCAUCUUCCGUACCAAAAAGGGUGGAAUCUGGCAGUUUAGGACUAGAAGACGAAGCCGUUGAUGACAUGGUGAGGCCUUCGCGCUGUUGCUGCUACGAAAUAAACGCCAUCUUUGUUUCCUCCUUGAAAGUACACGGCGUCAAUGGCCUGA